CACGUAGGGUGCGAGCGUUGUCCGGAAUUAUUGGGCGUAAAGAGCUCGUAGGCGGUGUGUCGCGUCGGCCGUGAAAACCUGCAGCUUAACUGUGGGCUUGCGGUCGAUACGGGCAUCACUGGAGUUCGGUAGGGGAGACUGGAAUUCCUGGUGUAGCGGUGAAAUGCGCAGAUAUCAGGAGGAACACCGAUGGCGAAGGCAGGUCUCUGGGCCACUACUGACGCUGAGAAGCGAAAGCAUGGGGAGC
rnacentral:rRNA from 1 species